AAAUCUCAACCUUCUCGGUUUUCUUCUGGACACCGAAGGAGGCUUGGACUUUGGAGGCCUUUGCUGGCAUCUCUCUCUUCUUGAGAGCCAGCUCCUCUUAAAUGAAUUAGCGGGGUCCUCUUUGCCGAUCCUCGACAUGUGAUAAGAUGUUUCCAUGACUUGGUUUCUGGCUCUGUUGCCUUUGGGACCCGCUUCUAACCGUCUCGACGAGACGACGUUUGGGCGCGUCUCCCUUCUCGGGAGACACUCUCAACCCCACGAAC
rnacentral:misc_RNA from 1 species